rnacentral:rRNA from 1 species
AUUGAACGCUGGCGGCAUGCCUUACACAUGCAAGUCGAACGGUAACGCGGGGCAACCUGGCGACGAGUGGCGAACGGGUGAGUAAUGCAUCGGAACGUGCCCAGUAGCGGGGGAUAGCCCGGCGAAAGCCGGAUUAAUACCGCAUACGACCUACGAGUGAAAGGGGGGGAUCGCAAGACCUCUCGCUAUUGGAGCGGCCGAUGUCAGAUUAGGUAGUUGGUGGGGUAAAGGCCUACCAAGCCUACGAUCUGUAGCUGGUCUGAGAGGACGACCAGCCACACUGGGACUGAGACACGGCCCAGACUCCUACGGGAGGCAGCAGUGGGGAAUUUUGGACAAUGGGCGCAAGCCUGAUCCAGCCAUGCCGCGUGCGGGAAGAAGGCCUUCGGGUUGUAAACCGCUUUUGUCAGGGAAGAAACGCUCUGGGUUAAUACCCUGGGGUAAUGACGGUACCUGAAGAAUAAGCACCGGCUAACUACGUGCCAGCAGCCGCCGUAACAC